GACGAACGCUGGCGGCGUGCUUAACACAUGCAAGUCGAACGGAGUGGCGAACGGGUGAUUCACACGUGGGUUACCUGCCCUUCACUUCGUGAUAAGCCUGGGAAACUGGGUCUAAUACCGGAUAGUGUGGGAUGGGCCCGCGCCCUAUCAGCUUGUUGGUGGGGUAAUGGCCUACCAAGGCGGCGACGGUUAGCCGGCCUGUGAGGGCGGCCGGCCACAUUGGGACGGAGAUACGGCCCAAACUCCUACGGGAGGCAGCAGUGGGGAAUAUUGCACAAUGGGCGGAAGCCUGAUGCAGCGACGCCGCGUGGGGGAUGACGGCCUUCGGGUUGUAAACUCCUUUCACCAGCGACGCAGUAGAUGGAGAAGAAGCACCGGAUAACUACGUGCCAGCAGCCGCGGUAAUAC
rnacentral:rRNA from 1 species